ACGAACGCUGGCGGCGUGCCUAAUACCUGCAAGUUGAGCGCUGAAGGUUGGUACUUGUACCGACUGGAUGAGCAGCGAACGGGUGAGUAACGCGUGGGGAAUCUGCCUUUGAGCGGGGGACAACAUUUGGAAACGAAUGCUAAUACCGCAUAAAAACUUUAAACACAAGUUUUAAGUUUGAAAGAUGCAAUUGCAUCACUCAAAGAUGAUCCCGCGGUGUAUUAGCUAGUUGGUGAGGUAAAGGCUCAACCAGGCGAUGCUACAUAGCCGACCUGAGAGGGUGAUCGGCCACAUUGGGACUGAGACACGGCCCAAACUCCUACGGGAGGCAGCAGUAGGGAAUCUUCGGCAAUAGACGAAAGGCUGACCGAGCAACGCCGCGGGGGUGAAGAAGGUUUUCGGAUCGUAAAACUCUGUUGGUAGAGAAGAAAGUUGGGGAGAGUGGAAAGCUCAUCAAGUGACGGUAACUACCCAGAAAGGGACGGCUAACUACGUG
rnacentral:rRNA from 1 species